rnacentral:rRNA from 1 species
UACGAAGGGGGCUAGCGUUGUUCGGAAUCACUGGCGUAAAGCGCACGCAGGCGGAUCGUUAAGUCAGGGGUGAAAUGCCGAGGCUCAACCUCGGAACUGCCUUUGAUACUGGCGAUCUUAGAGUCCGGGAGAGGUGAGUGGAACUCCGAGUGUAGAGGUGAAAUUCGUAGAUAUUCGGAAGAACACCAGUGGCGAAGGCGGCUCACUGGCCCGGUACUGACGCUCAGGUGCGAAAGCGUGGGGAGCAAACAGG